rnacentral:lncRNA from 1 species
CUCUAAAAAUGUGGAAAUUCCAAAAACAAUCUGAAAAUCCACUUAAGUGACAAGAAAGAAAGGGAAACUGUGACACUCACUGUAAUUAGCCUAAUUUAAACUUGCCAAUGUCUGUCAUAGGAGUUUUGUGUGCAGUAAGGCCUGCUUCCUUACUCCAGAAGGCCAGAAUUUCCACAAUGUAUUUUCUCACCAAAAUAACCAGUUAACAUGAAUUAGAAAAAUGGUAAACAUUAUUCAUCCACCAACUGUAAAUAUUAACAACUCUUCAUGUUACUUGCGGGCUGUUUUCACACUAUUAAUUUGCAAUCAUGUAAAGGAACCAAGGUUCGUGAGUUGCCUGGAGCCAAAUGAACCUUGGGCCAGAAUUAGGAUUAGAAUUCAAGGGUUAGUGCCUUCUGUAUUUUGCUUAUAGAGUAAAUUUCUUCCAGUAAUAGAUAAAUUACUUAGAUGACCCAGUGUGUUGAUUUUAGGCCCAGAUCUUCCCGAUAUUGAGGCAACCUCUCCUUACCAACCUGGUUGGUAAUAUCAUCUUUACUUUCUUCACAAUUGGUUUUUCUGUGCUGCUUACGCAGAUGGAACCAGUCCCGCAGGCACUCAAGAGGAUAUUUGCUGUAUUUGGUGUGGGAUCCUUUGGUGAAGGAGUCUGUACCACGGUGUUAACAGUUUUGGCAACUGACUGUGAAAAAACAACCCCUGAACUUUACUACUUGUCUGUGCUGCUGUCGGUGAGCAGCUUGGUUUCUACAGUGUCUUCUCUUCCCUCUCCUCACCCUCCUCCAAAGCCUAGAUUCUGUGUUUGUUUGAGAACCAGAACCCA